ACCUUCUAAAUAAUUCCGUCGCAACUGAUUUGAUUUGAAUUGCAGGAUCCCAAAAAGAGGCAGAGCCCGUCAAUGAUGAUGACCACUGAACUCUUCAUCGUCUCCCUUGUGGUUCUCCUGCUGGCUGUGAUGGUGUUGCUGCUCCUCUGCUGGGUCCUCAGAAACAGCCGAAACAGUGACGUCACAGAGAUGCAGAUCUCUGCAGGGGAACCCGCCCGCGUCCUGACCAUCAGAACCAAGUCACAAUUCGCCAACCAGCUGCUGGACAUCGUGCUGGAUCGAGUCAUCCUGCAGGUGGAAUCCGAACCACAAACGGGGGAGGAGCCGCAGGUGGAAAGUGAAAUGGAUCCUGGGGAGCAUCUUCGAGGAGAAAGAGGUUCAGGUCCCAUGAAAGCUGCUCGGACGGAUGCACCCGAGCACGCCGCUCUCCCCUCGGAUGGCGCCUCCUGCAGUGCGUCGAGGGAAGAGGAGAAACAACAGGAGUCCCAACUUUAAUAAAGGCAGUGACUGCAGGAUAAAGGGCUUCCGUUCCGAUGCGCGGCGAUGCGUCAGUCCGCCUGCAGGGGGAGGGAUGGAGCCGCUGGUGCAGCAGGCGGCGGCUGAUUGGACCGACACGCGGUCGGCGAUUGGUUUGUGGGAGGGAUUAAGCUGCAGGCUCCUCCCAUUCAACUUUCCAACUGAGGGGGCGGAUAACAUCUAAACAUCUGUGAUGUGUUGAGUUUCCGUGAGGGAGACUCACGCCGACACAAAGGACACAAAGGAAGUGAACUCGGUUUUUCUCUAUAAUCGGAUUUUCCAUGUCGGCUCGUGCCAGAAAACGGGGGGGUCGAGGGGGGGUUGAGGGGGGGCAUGACAAAUGAUCAAUGAUACUUAUGCAGAACAUGAGAUAUAACCUUCACAAUUUGACUGAACAAGCAAAUGAUGUGACAGUGAAAGUUCUGACCCGCCCGUCGGUCAUUUGUUGAAGUUAACGCGUUACCGUAGCGACGGAGUGUGAGGCUGACAUGGUACAGAUGUGUUCACAAGGCCGAACUGAACUGACCGGGACCAACGAAGGGACCUUCACGUGUCCAGAACGCACCAAUGCUGCAUCUUUAAGUGGUGCACGCACCUGCUGAUUCGUUUUUGAGGAUCCAUGUUGUCAUUUAGAAGAUGGAUGAUAGCUCACACGUGAACCGACUUUAACACUCAGCAGCUGAUUGACAGUGAAUAUUACGGUGGUGGAAACAAUGGAUUGAAAGUGCGUCGUUCAGGUGAAGGCAUGCGACUUAAACUAGUCCCUCCUUAUUUAAACUGCUGUCUUUGGUUCGUUAAUACUUUUGGUAAACUCUGUCUUAGUUAGCCAGCUGUUGAUAUCUCUAAUAUUCAAUAUAUUGUCCUAAAUAAAAGACGCAUUCCUAGUUGCAUCAUUUUGAAGUUAGUGAAUAAACUAAAAAUGUAUAUAAUUCAUUCAGUUUGUGUCGCCUGUGUUUGUGUGUUGGUUAAGCUCAUCCUUAAUAUUUCAUAAUUUUAUGCUUGUUUUUUACAUACAUACACACACAUGUACCUUUCAUAACUGUUCCGUCUUGACUGAACUGCUUCAUGAAGACAAACUGUGUCUUUUGGUUCAAAC
ensembl:lncRNA